CCCAGUGUUCAGACUACCUGUC
rnacentral:miRNA from 18 species